rnacentral:snRNA from 1 species
UGACGUGAGGGCUAUCUGGCUGCGACACCUGUUGCGUUAAUGGGGAAGCUGAUUCUUGGCUGCUCUGGCUAGCUAAGCAAGCAUCCCCUUCCUCUCUCACUGCUCCAUGUGAGACCCUCCUGAAGUUAUACUUGGUUCAGGAGGAUGCCCUUCCUCAAUACAGGGGACUGUUCCUUGAUCGAGAGUGUGUAUAUGCACAGCUGUGCUCCCCAGCUAGAAACAAACACCCCCAAACACCUCAGGAGAGCUUGGGGGUAGGGCCCAAGUAGAGAACUGAAUCCCAAAGGAUG